CAUUUAGUACUAAACUGUUCUUCAUUUAUAUAAACCUAACAAAUAAGUAAUUUCAAAAGAACUUUAAAAUAAACAAAUAAGUAUUAACUGGGCAACAAAUGAAGGCAACAACGUAAAACAUUUUCAAUCCUUAAAUUAAAUGCACACGGUUCAGGUUUUGCAUUUAAGAUUAUUAUUCAAUGAUCAUAGUUGUCCCAAGUCCGAAUGUCGUGUAUUUGGCAACAAAUUUAUCCAAUGUAUACUCUUAUACUCUGUAAUACCCAAUUAUUGCCCGGCCCAAUAAACACCAAAAAUGAAUAAAAAUAAUAAAUAAAAUAAAAGUCCAAAUGUCCAUUACAUUGACCCAAUUUAAAAUCCCAAAAUUACAUACCCAAACCCCACUAAACAGAGACCCAGUACAAUCCUGGCCCAAAACUGAAACAAAAUCUGAAACCCUAGCAAGCUCCAGCCAUCGUGCCGCAGCAGUAGCCCAGGCGCGCCUCUUCCCCGUGCGUGCAUCUCCAGGCUGGCCAUGUACCUGCAACUCAACAAACAAGGAAACAAGCAGCAAAAAGAAAGGGACUAAUAGCAAAAUGGAAGCAAAGAACUAUUUUCCUUUUUUUAUAUCUAUUUUUCAGUUUCGUUUUGACUAUAAAAGCCAAUUAAAAUCUGUAAAAAGUGAACGGAACACGAAAUAAAUAAAUAAAAAAACAAAUCGAAUAGCUCUGUUAUUUCAAGGUGAUUUUUCAGAUUCUGUCAAUUUUUUUAUCUCUUUGCAUUAUCAUCUUUUUAUUAAGAUACAAAACGAAAAGAAUGAAGAGGGAAGAUUUACCUCUGCUAGUCUGCCGUCGGCCCUUGUCUGCUCUGUUAAAAUCAGAGUUGAAGGGGCUAUUGUUUCGGCUGUGAACAGCGGGGAGAAGAUAGCCUAAGGCAUUGUUUUUCGUUUUAUUUUCUUUAAAAGUGGUAAAAAAUUUCUAAUUAGGUUUUAUUUUGUUUUAUUUUCUAAUUAGGUUUGGGAUUUUAUAAAGUAAUAAAAAUGACGUCGUUUAGGGCCUGCUUC
rnacentral:lncRNA from 1 species